CAAUGCUUGACAUGGAGGGCAAUGUUGAAGAAACUCAACGGAGGUUAUCCCGACACAGGUGGUGCAUGGUCGUCGUCAGUUCGUGCUGCGAAGUGUAUGCUUAAGUGCUAGAACGAACGCAACCCUCAUGUUUAGUUACUAACAUUUAGUUGAGAUUCUCUAAACAGACUGCGGGAGAUUAACUUGGAGGAAGGAGAGGAUGACGUCUGAUCAUCAUGCCCCUUACGCCUUGGGCUACACACGUGCUACAAUGGUUAGGACAAAGGGUCGCCAACCCGCGAGGGGGAGCUAAUCCCAAAAAACUAACCCAAGUUCAGAUUGAAGUCUGCAACUCGACUUCAUGAAGUCGGAAUCGCUGGUAAUCGUGAAUCAGCAACGUCACGGUGAAUA
rnacentral:rRNA from 1 species